CAACCGGUCCUUUUCAGGACCACAAUACGCAUCUGUCGAAAAGAAU
rfam:Anopheles minimus strain MINIMTS1 unplaced genomic scaffold supercont1.626, whole genome shotgun sequence.